rnacentral:rRNA from 1 species
AUACGGAGGAUGCAAGCGUUAUCCGGAUUUAUUGGGUUUAAAGGGUGCGUAGGCGGAUGAUUAAGCGUGAGGUGAAAUGCCACUGCUCAACAGUGGAACUGCCUCGCGAACUGGUUGUCUUGAAUGCUCCUGCCGUGGGAGGAAUGUGUGGUGUAGCGGUGAAAUGCAUAGAGAUCACACAGAACACCGAUUGCGAAGGCAUCUCACGAAGGGGUGAUUGACGCUGAGGCACGAAAGCGUGGGGAUCAAACAGGAUUAGAUACCCUGGUAGUCCACGCAGUAAACGAUGAUAACUAACCGCUGGGUCGUAGUGAUUCAGUGGCCAAGCGAAAGCGAUAAGUGAUCCACCUGGGGAGUACGACCGCAAGGUUGAAACUCAAAUGAAUUGGCGGGG